rnacentral:rRNA from 1 species
ACGGGGUGCAGCAGGCGCGAAAACUCCGCAAUACACGAAAGUGUGACGGGGGAACCCCAGGUGCUCUCGCGCAAGCGAGUGCUUUUGUGAAGUGUAAAUAGCUUCAUGAAUAAGAGCUGGGUAAGACCGGUGCCAGCCGCCGCGGUAACACCGGCAGCUCGAGUGGUGAUCACUAUUAUUGGGCCUAAAGCGUCCGUAGCCGGUUUGAUAAGUCCUUGGGCAAAUCCUGCCGCUUAACGGCAGGAAUUCUGAGGAUACUGUCAGACUUGAGGCCGAGAGAGGUCGGAGGUACUUCUGGGGUAGCGGUGAAAUGCUAUAAUCCUAGUGGGACCACCAGUGGCGAAAGCGUCCGACUAGAGCGGGCCUGACGGUAAGGGACGAAAGCCAGGGGAGCGAACGGGAUUAGAUACCCCGGUAGUCCUGGCCGUAAACGCUGUGGGCUAGGUGUUGCAUGCUCUACGAGGGCGUGCAGUGCCGAAGAGAAGUUGAUAAGCCUACCGCCUGGAAGUACUAUCGCAAGAU